UACAGAGGUCUCAAGCGUUGUUCGGAUUCAUUGGGCGUAAAGGGUGCGUAGGCGGCGCGGUAAGUCGGGUGUGAAAUCUCGGGGCUUAACUCCGAAACUGCAUUCGAUACUGCCGUGCUUGAGGACUGGAGAGGAGACUGGAAUUUACGGUGUAGCGGUGAAAUGCGUAGAUAUCAGGAGGAACACCGGUGGCGAAGGCGGAUCUCUGGGCCUGUCCUGACGCUGAGGCGCGAAAGCUAGGGGAGCGAACAGG
rnacentral:rRNA from 1 species